rnacentral:rRNA from 1 species
UACGGGGGGGGCAAGCGUUGUUCGGAAUUACUGGGCGUAAAGGGCUCGUAGGCGGCCAGCUAAGUCAGACGUGAAAUCCCUCGGCUUAACCGGGGAACUGCGUCUGAUACUGGAUGGCUUGAAUCCGGGAGAGGGAUGCGGAAUUCCAGGUGUAGCGGUGAAAUGCGUAGAUAUCUGGAGGAACACCGGUGGCGAAGGCGGCAUCCUGGACCGGCAUUGACGCUGAGGAGCGAAAGCCAGGGGAGCAAACGGG